rnacentral:misc_RNA from 1 species
AAGUCGUAACAAGGUUUCCGUAGGUGAACCUGCGGAAGGAUCAUUACAGAGAGGGGCUUCGUGCUCCAGGAGGCUUCGGCCUCCGACUCUUCACCCUGUGAUUAUUUACCAUUUGUUGCUUUGGCGGGCCCCGGGGUCUUCCGAUCCCGGCCGGUCCUGCCGGUUGCGCCCGCCAAUGGCCUAUUUAAAAUUCUUUUUAUUCAGUCGUCCGAGUCAUACCAAACAAAUAAAUUAAAA